GACGAACGCUGGCGGCGUGCUUAACACAUGCAAGUCGAACGGAAAGGCCUGCUUUUGUGGGGUGCUCGAGUGGCGAACGGGUGAGUAACACGUGAGUAACCUGCCCUUGACUUUGGGAUAACUUCAGGAAACUGGGGCUAAUACCGGAUAGGAGCUCCUGCUGCAUGGUGGGGGUUGGAAAGUUUCGGCGGUUGGGGAUGGACUCGCGGCUUAUCAGCUUGUUGGUGGGGUAGUGGCUUACCAAGGCUUUGACGGGUAGCCGGCCUGAGAGGGUGACCGGCCACAUUGGGACUGAGAUACGGCCCAGACUCCUACGGGAGGCAGCAGUGGGGAAUAUGGCACAAUGGGCGGAAGCCUGAUGCAGCAACGCCGCGUGCGGGAUGACGGCCUUCGGGUUGUAAACCGCUUUCGCCUGUGACGAAGCGUGAGUGACGGUAAUGGGUAAAGAAGCACCGGCUAACUACGUG
rnacentral:rRNA from 1 species